rnacentral:rRNA from 1 species
AGUGAACGCUGGCGGUAGGCCUAACACAUGCAAGUCGAACGGCAGCAUAGUAAGAGCUUGCUCUUACGGGUGGCGAGUGGCGGACGGGUGAGGAAUACAUCGGAAUCUACUUUUUCGUGGGGGAUAACGUAGGGAAACUUACGCUAAUACCGCAUACGGCCUACGGGUGAAAGCAGGGGAUCUUCGGACCUUGCGCGAUUGAAUGAGCCGAUGUCGGAUUAGCUAGUUGGCGGGGUAAAGGCCCACCAAGGCGACGAUCCGUAGCUGGUCUGAGAGGAUGAUCAGCCACACUGGAACUGGAACACGGUCCAGACUCCUGCGGGGGGCAGCAGUGGGGAAUAUUGGACAAUGGUCGCAAGCCUGAUCCAGCCAUACCGCGUGGGUGAAGAAGGCCUUCGGGUUGUGAAGCCCUUUUGUUGGGAAAGAAAAGCAGCAGGUUAAUACCCCGCUGUUCUGACGGUACCCAAAGAAUAAGCACCGGCUAACUUCGUG